rnacentral:lncRNA from 1 species
CCCGAAAAAACUACUUGGAUAUUUCAUAUCUGGCAGUCCAGCUCUGUUCUCCAUAUAAUUCCUUAAGAUUAAGGAGUAUGGAUUGAGAAUCCAUUUUCUCAUGUUGCCUCUGUAGCUUGUUAUUCAUGAAGGCCAACAUGAUGCACUUAACAGUAGUACUAUCAUUCUGCCAUAUCUUAUAUGUGGCACUCUCCUCCUCGAUAGCAUC